rnacentral:lncRNA from 1 species
CCGAGUCGUGUUCCCUUCUUCCUGCUACACUCAGAUUCCAGCGUGAGGUCACUGGCUUGGGGCCUCUCCGAGGUCUUUUUCUCAGUCGAAUGAGUAUCUCCCUCUGCAAGUGCAGUGUGGUCCACCAGCCCCGGGGCGUGGCUACCCAGCGCCCUGUGAUUCCCUCUGAUGAGGCCAAUGGCCCGUGUAUUUUCUCGGGCUGCAAACCAACCAUGGCUUUGAAAGCCCAGCAGCGACAUAGCUGGUAUAUGUGGUCUGUUUCUAGGUCUUUCGUCUACCUUCUGAGGCAUGAGUUUUCAUCCUGUAUUUGCCCAAGCCUCAUCUUCAGGCACAAAAGCCUUCACUGUUGAGAAACAGGCCAGCCGCUCUGGCUGGGAGAAUGGCAGGCGCGA